rnacentral:rRNA from 1 species
AACGAACGCUGGCGGCAGGCUUAACACAUGCAAGUCGAGCGCAUCCUUCGGGGUGAGCGGCGGACGGGCGAGUAACGCGUGGGAACGUGCCCUCUUCUACGGAAUAGCCUCGGGAAACUGAGAGUAAUGCCGUAUACGCCCGCAAGGGGAAAGAUUUAUCGGAGGAGGAUCGGCCCGCGUUGGAUUAGGUAGUUGGUGGGGUAACGGCCUACCAAGCCGACGAUCCAUAGCUGGUUUGAGAGGAUGAUCAGCCACACUGGGACUGAGACACGGCCCAGACUCCUACGGGAGGCAGCAGUGGGGAAUCUUGGACAAUGGGGGCAACCCUGAUCCAGCCAUGCCGCGUGAUCGAUGAAGGCCUUAGGGUUGUAAAGAUCUUUCAGCUGGGAAGAUAAUGACGGUACCAGCAGAAGAAGCCCCGGCUAACUCCGUG